CCAAUAUGUCCAAGUUUGGUUUGCCGAUUUGCCUAAUAUACUGAAGUUAACGCGUGCCGGUUUACAUUGUUUGUAAUAAUGUCGGAGUUUCAAUGUGGUUACGUCAUGAUCCACGUUUUCUGGCCUGGGUCUUUCAGCAGAUUAAAAAGCAGGUAUACAAGAUCUCAGGACUUUCUUAAACGUUACGAUCUUGCCAGGAAUUUUUGGACAACUGGACUGCCUCUGAUCUUUGAUUACUGAUAAAAAGAUAAUAGGUGCAAUGAAAAAAACUUAUGGGAAAAUGUUACAUUAACACAAAGUUCUAUUCUCAAAGAUUUUGUUCGCAUUCUCCUUAGGGCACAAUUUUUUAGUAACUG